CGCACGUUCUGUAAGCGGUCGCCUUCAUUUGUUCUAAUCAACUAUCCAAACUAAUCCGUCACAUCACUCAGCUAGCAUAUGAACUUAUUGGACCGAGUAGAGACGGACAUAAUCGUGGCACGUGACGCAAGCAAAACAUUUAUGAUACAGUUCUGAAAGGAUGUAAACAAUUAGUCAAUAUUUCGAUAUACGACAGCUGAGCUCUUUUCAACACACUGUGGAAUGUUCAUGCAAGCAGGUGGUCAAAUAUUGUUACUCACACGAAUGCGCGAUUUGGCGUGCAGAGGAACGGCAUUAUCAUCACACAGUCGCAUCUUUUUCUUCAACGGCU